GACGAACGCUGGCGGCGUGCUUAACACAUGCAAGUCGAACGGAAAGGCCCUGGUUUUGUGGGGUGCUCGAGUGGCAAACGGGUUAGUAACACGUUAGUAACCUGCCCUUGACUUUGGGAUAACUUCAGGAAACUGGGGCUAAUACCGGAUAGGAGCUCCUGCUGCAUGGUGGGUGUUGGAAAGUUUCGGCGGGUGGGGAUGGACUCGCGGCUUAUCAGCUUGUUGGUGGGGUAGUGGCUUACCAAGGCUUUGACGGGUAGCCGGCAUGAGAGGGUGACCGGCCACAUUGGGACUGAGAUACGGCCCAGACUCCUACGGGAGGCAGCAGUGGGGAAUAUUGCACAAUGGGCGGAAGCCUGAUGCAGCAACGCCGCGUGCGGGAUGACGGCCUUCGGGUUGUAAACCGCUUUCGCCUGUGACGAAGCGUGAGUGACGGUAAUGGGUAAAGAAGCACCAGCUAACUACGUG
rnacentral:rRNA from 1 species